rnacentral:sRNA from 1 species
CCCAGGGCUGCGCUUCGCUUCACCCUGGGCUAUCAAAUUGCGCCCCUUCGGGGCU